UUCUAGCCCCGAUUGCAACGGAAAUCCUUUUGUGCCGUUUUUCGGCAUAAAAGAUUGAAGUGAAAAGCGGGAUUAGCU
rnacentral:sRNA from 1 species